AAACUUGCAAUUUCCAGUGCAAAAGAUUAUAAUCCAAUGGUCGCAGUUGCGAUGAUGAUUCUGAAGCCGUUGUGCAAUAGUCAUUUUGGACUGGGGGGCGGCACCCCACAGCUCCACCAUCUGAUGCGAUGAAGAGUCGUAUCUGAUUAUGGGGCUGACAUAGUUUCGACAGGUGAUGAAAGACAAAUUGGUUGAAUCCGACAUGGCGUCGUUAAAAGCCGACUAAAAACUGAAUGGCGAUAGAAUCGCUGCGAACGACAAUGUUCGCCUUGCAAUGGCUGCCUAAGAUGGCGUUGAGUGUGGUUGGCGAUUGUUGACCAAACUCGUUUAAGCAAUUGCGGGGUCGGUCGGGGACCUGGCACCAGAAAUCCCGACA
rnacentral:tmRNA from 1 species